rnacentral:lncRNA from 1 species
GAAGAAGAGGAAGGCUUUGACUACUUUUGGGACUCAGAAGAAGCAGAAGGCCAUUGAUGCUAGUAAAGGAGAAGCAGGCUUCCUUUGAGUUUCUUCUACACCUCCGAAGUUAUUUUGGCUGCUCAAGUUUAGACAAGCUCUUCUAAGCCUGCCACACUUCCUGCCCCUCAAGCUAGAGGAAGUCAUCAAUCUACCUCUCGAGACAAGCAACCCAGCUCAGUUCCUGCUGAGUUUUCAGAUGUCCAAGAACUUGAUGCAACUCCACUUCCAUCGGAUGCUUCAUUCGA